rnacentral:rRNA from 1 species
AGAGUUUGAUCCUGGCUCAGAUUGAACGCUGGCGGCAUGCCUAACACAUGCAAGUCCCAACGGCAGCACGGGGGCAACCCUGGUGGCGAGUGGCGAACGGGUGAGUAAUGCAUCGGAACGUAUCCUUUGGAGUGGGGGGAUAACGGCAGGCGAAAAGUUUGUGCUAAUACCGCAUAAGCUCUGAAGGUAGGAAAGCGGGGGACCGAAAGGCCUCGCGCUGAAGGAGCGGCCGAUGUCCGAGUUAGCUAGUUGGUGAGGUAAAGGCGUUACCAAGGCGACGAUCGGGUAGCUGGUCUGAGAGGAUGAUCAGCCACACUGGGGACUGAGACACGGCCCAGACUCCUACGGGAGGCGAC